rnacentral:rRNA from 1 species
UCGACCGCCUGGGGAGUACGGCCGCAAGGUUAAAACUCAAAUGAAUUGACGGGGGCCCGCACAAGCGGUGGAGCAUGUGGUUUAAUUCGAUGCAACGCGAAGAACCUUACCUGGUCUUGACAUCCACGGAAGUUUUCAGAGAUGAGAAUGUGCCUUCGGGAACCGUGAGACAGGUGCUGCAUGGCUGUCGUCAGCUCGUGUUGUGAAAUGUUGGGUUAAGUCCCGCAACGAGCGCAACCCUUAUCCUUUGUUGCCAGCGGUCCGGCCGGGAACUCAAAGGAGACUGCCAGUGAUAAACUGGAGGAAGGUGGGGAUGACGUCAAGUCAUCAUGGCCCUUACGACCAGGGCUACACACGUGCUACAAUGGCGCAUACAAAGAGAAGCGACCUCGCGAGAGCAAGCGGAUCUCAUAAAGUGCGUCGUAGUCCGGAUUGGAGUCUGCAACUCGACUCCAUGAAGUCGGAAUCGCUAGUAAUCGUGGAUCAGAAUGCCACGGUGAAUACGUUCCCGGGCCUUGUACACACCGCCCGUCACACCAUGGGAGUGGGUUGCAAAAGAAGUAGGUAGCUUAACCUUCGGGAGGGCGCUUACCACUUUGUGAUUCAUGACUGGGGUGAAGUCGUAACAAGGUAACCGUAGGGGAACCUGCGGUUGGAUCACCUCCUUACCUUAAAGAAGC